GAAAGUGAGAUUAUAAUAUAUAGAAAAUACCCAAAUCACUGUACACCACAAAUUAGUGCCAGGUAAAAAGAUUUGGCAUGCCUAGAUAGGAGCAAGAAGGCUUUUAAUUCCACUGUCAAUUAUAAUGGGAUAGUAAUUAUGGGAAAAUGAAACAUAAUAUAUUUGGUAAUUAAAAAUAUGCACCAAUAUUUGAAGUAAAGAGGAACCCUCUUAGUGGAAAACAUAAAUAAAUAAGUAACUUGCAGGUGAUCCCAUUAUAUGCUAAAAUCACUAACACGUUCAUGGAUGAAUUUGGCGACCAAGUAAAUAUAUGGAGAUAUCCAUUGAUAAGCCUAUUGACUUAAAGCAAUAUUAUAAUUUGCAGGGAGAAUUCAAUUUGAGGCCUAACUAAGUUAAUCUAUCUUUACUUUUUCAUCAAAUUUAAACACUCACUUUUUUUUUUCCAAAGAAUUUAAACACUCACUUAAGUUGAUUACUUAUAAUACACAGUAUGC
rnacentral:misc_RNA from 1 species